rnacentral:rRNA from 1 species
GAUGAACGCUGGCGGCGUGCUUAACACAUGCAAGUCGAACGGAAAGGCCCCAGCUUGCUGGGGUACUCGAGUGGCGAACGGGUGAGUAACACGUGGGUGAUCUGCCCUGCACUUUGGGAUAAGCUUGGGAAACUGGGUCUAAUACCGAAUAUGACCACUUCUUGGAUGUUGUGGUGGAAAGCUUUUGCGGUGUGGGAUGAGCCUGCGGCCUAUCAGCUUGUUGGUGGGGUAAUGGCCUACCAAGGCGGCGACGGGUAUCCGGCCUGAGAGGGUGUACGGACACGUUGGGACUGAGAUACGGACCAGACUCCGACGGGAGGCAGCAGUGGGGAAUAUUGCACAAUGGGCGCAAGCCUGAUGCAGCGACGCCGCGUGGGGGAUGAAGGCCUUCGGGUUGUAAACUCCUUUCGCUAUCGACGAAGCCACUUGUGGUGACGGUAGGUAGAUAAGAAGCACCGGCUAACUACGUGCCAGCCGCCGCAGUAA